rnacentral:misc_RNA from 1 species
GAUGAAGAACGUAGCGAAAUGCGAUACGUAAUGUGAAUUGCAAAUUCAGUGAAUCAUCGAGUCUUUGAACGCACAUUGCGCACCUUGGUAUUCCAUGGGGCAUGCCUGUUCGAGCGUCAUUUGUACCUUCAAGCUUUGCUUGGUGUUGGGUGUUUGUCUCGCCUUUGCGUGUAGACUCGCCUUAAAAUAAUUGGCAGCCGGCGUAUUGAUUUCGGAGCGCAGUACAUCUCGCGCUUUGCACUCAUAACGACAGCGUCCAAAAGUACAUUUUACACUCUUGACCUCGGAUCAGGUAGGGAUACCCGCUGAACUUAAGCAUAUCAAUAAGCGGAGGA